GAGAGUGCGAGGGGUCUGGCUGUGACGUCUGUCACCCCAGUGAUCACCAGGACUGAUCGGGGUGAUCUGGCUGGCUAGGCAGGUGUCCCCAUCCUCCCUCACCGCUCCACGUGCGUCCCUCCCAAAACUGUGCUCAGUCAGAGAGGACGGCCACCCCAAUGGAAGAGGACUGCUUUCUUAGUCAAGGGCACACAAGGGGCUGCACUGCCCCACUAGAACCUCCGAACAAGCUCCUGAGGGUCACAAACAGCAGGGGAAGAGGUAGAUCAUGCAUCUGAUAAGGAACCUUCACCCAGAAUGGGGAAUUCUUU
rnacentral:snRNA from 1 species